GGGGAAAAAAGUACCAUCUGUGACUGAAAGGGCAGAGAUCUGACUGAUUUACCAGUCAGCUGAUCUGAUUGCACAGAGGGAGGUGAGUAAGCUGAUCUAUGGGAAAAAGAGUAGUAACAUUGGACAGAAUGCAGGAAAUGAUUUGAAAAUGUUAAGGCAAGCUUGAUCCAUAGUGGAAGUUAGAGUUUUGAGAAAUCAUCUCAGAAUGAAAAGUAUGUCUCACUGGGACUGCCCAGAAGACUAAAUGGGGAAUUAUGUAAGCUUCACAGUUGAAAUAGCAUCAUAGAGGGCUGCAUCCUCUCAUCUUCUCCGUCAGAAAAGCAUGUGUCCUUCUUGGGGCACUGAAAACCAUGGAUGGACUGAAACAGCUGUGAACCUCUGCCAAAGCCUGUCCACCAUCAGAGCAUCAGUGGGAGAAGGUGCACGUGUUCAUUGCACACUGAGUGGAGCAGCGCCUCUCAGUCCUGCACAAAAGGUAUUCCGAGGAGCAACUCACCUUGGGGAAACAGCACUGGUCUCACCUGAAAUGUCUUUCUUUGACUCAGAUCCAAAAUGAAAGCAUCACGCUCUACCUACUUUUUCAACCAAAGUUGGAACUAAAGAGUCUCAGUUUCCUCAGACCUGUGGCCCAAAACAUUUGCUAUGGCACAUGUGACAGUGAUUCCUGUCCUGCUGAUAUUAAGCUUUUUCCAGCAUAAGACACUGUUUUCCCCAAUCCUGGCAAGGGAACAAGAAGACAUAAAGGAUGCACUUAGGCUACAUAAUGUUCUGUGGACCACCGAGGACAAUACAAGAAUUACUUUGUCCUGGAACAAUAACCUGACAAAAGAAGAAACCAGGAAAUACACUGUGAAGUACAUUUUGAUUUAUAAGUUCUUCAAUACCACUAAGGCAAGGAAAGAAAGACUGCAGGAGAAGGAAAAGAUAAUACAUCUUAAGUUACACUCUGGUUUUAAUGCUAAAGUUAAGACACAGCUUUUUGCAAAAGAAACAGAAAACAUAAUUAAGGAGAGUGACUGGACAGAAUUUACUUACAAG
rnacentral:lncRNA from 1 species